UCUCUGGUUUGGGAAUUCUGGUCUCCAAAAAAAAUCAGAAAAAGAAACCCACAUCUCUUUUGAGGGGUCAGAUUCUGUUGUAAUUGGCUUCCCAAGCUAGACUUUCUGAAGAGGAUGUGGUAUUGGUGAAAAGUUUCCAUUCACCAGAGAUGCUGUGUUCUCAGGGAACCAAACUGAUAUAUUCUGGGCACCAAUCCACGUAAUCUGAUCUGUUAACAGGACACCAAGUUCAGGAGGUAGAAUGUAGAACACCCCAAAGUAGAAUCCUUGCAGAACCCAUAAACUAUUCUCCCUUGGCCCAUUUUGGCUCCUUUACUCCCGGAUUUCUGAGUUCCUCCCUGUGGGAUGAGACCCAAAGCACUCAGCCAUAACCUUUCACCAAUUCACACCCAGCC
rnacentral:lncRNA from 1 species